rnacentral:rRNA from 1 species
GCCGGGGCAUGCCUCAGUAGCGGCGAGUGAGCGGCAGAGCUCAGAUUUGAAAUCGCAGCACCAUGCUGCGAGUUGUAGAUUGCAGGUGGGAGAGUCUGCGUAGGCCGGUGUCGAAGUCCCUUGGAACAGGGCGCCACUGAGGGUGAGAGCCCCGUGCGAUGCCACGCUCUACGUUUUGUACUCCCCUCUGACGAGUCGAGUUGUUUGGGAAUGCAGCUCUAAGUGGGUGGUAAAUUCCAUCUAAGGCUAAAUACUGGCGAGAGACCGAUAGCGAACAAGUACUGUGAAGGAAAGAUGAAAAGCACUUUGAAAAGAGAGUGAAACAGCACGUGAAAUUGUUGAAAGGGAAGGGUAUUGGGCCCGACAUGGGAAUCGCGCACCGCUGCUCCUUGUGGGCGGCGCUCUGGGCUUUUCCUGGGCCAGCAUCGGUUCUUGCUGCAGGAGAAGGGGCUGUGGAAUGUGGCUGCCGCGCUUUGCCGGGGCAGUGUUAUAGCCACUGGGCCAGAUGCUGCGUGUGGGGACCGAGGACUGCGGCCGCAAGUCUCGAUGCGCUACCGUUCUC